rnacentral:rRNA from 1 species
UUCACGGAGAGUUUGAUCCUGGCUCAGGACGAACGCUGGCGGCGCGCUUAACACAUGCAAGUCGAGCGAGAACCGGGGCUUCGGCCCUGGGGAAAGCGGCGAACGGGUGAGUAACACGUGAGUAACCUGCCCUCGGCACCGGAAUAGCCCGGGGAAACUCGGAUUAAUGCCGGAUGGCCCCUCAGCCCCUCGGGGCGGUGGGGAAAGGUAGCUUCGGCCUCUGGCCGAGGAUGGGCUCGCGGCGGAUUAGCUUGUUGGCGGGGUAACGGCCCACCAAGGCGACGAUCCGUAGCUGGUCUGAGAGGACGAUCAGCCACACUGGGACUGAGACACGGCCCAGACUCCUACGGGAGGCAGCAGUGGGGAAUCUUGCGCAAUGGGCGAAAGCCUGACGCAGCGACGCCGCGUGCGGGAAGAAGGCCUUCGGGUUG